rnacentral:rRNA from 1 species
UCCUACGGGAGGCAGCAGUGGGGAAUCUUCCGCAAUGGGCGCAAGCCUGACGGAGCAACGCCGCGUGAGUGAAGAAGGGUUUCGACUCGUAAAGCUCUGUUGUCGGGGACGAAUGUGGAGAUGGUGAAUAACCAUUUUCAAUGACGGUACCUGAGAGGAAGCCAACGGCUAACUACGUGC